rnacentral:lncRNA from 1 species
GCAAAUGAGGUGGAAGGGUAGGAGAGGAGCGCACUUGUUUACUGUUAGGAGGACAGGUGCUGCGGGGUUGGGUUGCGGGCGGGGCGGGGAAAAGACCAGAGUCAGAUUAGAGUAAGGCUUCCUGAACUUAUUUUUGGGCAAGGGGGAUUGAUGGUGGCGAAGGUUCCAACCAAGGGUCGGACCUGCCUGGGCGCGGGUCAGAUGUUCUGGACGUCAGCUGCCAUGACCUCCCUUAACGCCCUUGGACUGACUGCCGGGUGACUAUAUAAGGACUGGCCGUGCUGGGGGCUGCGAUCAGGGUCUGUGGAGCUGUCCCGGCGUCACCCGGUGGCAUCCUGGCUGUGCGCCAUGCUGCACUGUUUUGGGAGUUACAUCCUGGCCGACCUGCUUCUUGGGGAGCCCAUCAUUGACUACUUCAGCAACAGCUCCAGUAUCCUGCUGGCCUCCGGAGUGUGGUACUUGAUUUUCUUCUGUCCCUUGGACCUCUUCUACAAGUGCGUCUGCUUUCUGCCUGUAAAACUC